rnacentral:lncRNA from 1 species
UUCCUUUUAUAUUUCCUUGAUGAUUUCUUCGUGAUUAACCGCUUAAAAACUGCUUGAUUGCUUUGUAACUACCCACUUUCUUUAUGGUGGCUAACUUGUUGUGGAACUGCCGUCUCUAACUGCUGCCACUACUCUUUGUCGUUCAACCGUCUUCAACUGAACUCCUUGAAUCGUGGAACGUGAUAAGGUUACUCAAUAACUGCUUCAAUAACUGCAUUUCUAGAUAACCAUAACAUCUUAUGUUUGCUAAGAUCUUGGGCGAUUCGAAGGUUUGGGCGAGAAUAGGGUCAUAGCUUUGGGCGAUUGUAAGGCACUUUAUUCGCUCAGAUCUUGGGCGUCCUGCAGACUUGGGCGAUGAUGUUACUGUGUUCACGGGCUUCCACCGCAUUUAUUAAUAACCCUAUCUGGGCCUUUAUCCUGAAUUGUCUAGUUGAGCUUCAUUCUUUGAGUUAUUCGAUUUGGGUUGCACUUUUAGUGUGUCAACAGAUUUAAAAAAAAAUUAUACAGAGAAAUCAAGUUUUUUAGAUUUUUUGUAAAACACCAAGGCAGAGGCUAGAGGUACUCUGAUACCAUAUGUAAGAUUGAAAAUCGAUUCAAAACAAUUAUGCGAAAAGUGAUUGGAUAGAAAAAGAGAAACUCCAUGGAUCGAGUUCAUACCUCCGGCCAUUGAUGUUGUUCCAUAAUCUCUAUCUUUGUUCGAGGUAAUGACACUUCUAAACUCUCAAUACUUCAAAUUGAUGGUGUAUCUUGUAUUUAAGUUUAGGGACCAAACCCCUUUUUAUAGCCAACUCCCAUCAAGUUAUGGUUUCAAUUAUCUUUCAAUUAAUGGCGUAAUAAAUACUGAAUUGAAGUUUUAUAAAUGUUGAAACUGAAAAAUGAAUGUUGGAC